GACAGCCAGCCUCUCCUGUGAAACAUGCACUUUCCAAACCAAUUUUAUUGCUCUAAUUUAAAAAAAAGGUGGUGACUUUGCAAAUAGUCUUGAUUACAAAUAUCCUACAGUUUUGUGUCUAUAGCUUCUAUACAGACCCACAUGUCUUCAUGGCUAUAUACGGUACUGUAUGAAUGAGAGAAUGGAGAACAACACACCUCCAUCCCAGAGAACAAUAGGACUGGGCAGUUGAAAUCUAAUAUGCUCUACUCUUCUCUCCCCCAACGUCUGCCAUUGUUGGAGAGUGGGGAGGAACCCAUACACACUAGAUUGGCCCAUAGUCCCCGCCGACAUUGGCUGGUUUGGUUGACACACAUCUAAUGUGUAUGGCUAGCUAAACUCAUGACUGCGGGAUUAAACUAUACAUAGAAUUUGCUUGUAGUUCCUAACAUGUAGACACAUAAAUUAAGCUGUACCAUGUGCACCUGUUAUCUGAGCUAUUGCAGUAUGCAAGUAUAUGCAGUAUUCCAAAGUAUUCCAACCUAUGGAUCUUUUUUUAACAACUUGGCCUAGAAACUAUUCUUCAACCUACUAUUAUAGAAACCUGAACAUUUUAAAAUUUGGUUUCCAGUGCUGCAAUUUUCACUAUUAAAUUAAAUGGUGAAAAACCACAACAAAUCAAUAAAAAAAACUGUAAUGGAUAGGAUAUACUGUAGUGUCUGCACUAUAAAAAAAUAAAAAAUAAAAUAAAAAUAAAUAUAUAUAUAUAUAUAUACAGUAUAUAUUAUGGAUAGUAAAAUGUAUUCCUUUUAUUUUCCAAUGGUUGAUUUUUUUUAUUGAUUAUAGGGGAAGCAAUCUUAUCUGAGUUGUUGUUAAUAGCAUUUAGAGACAUACAUUACAGCAGCUACAUAGGCCAUAAAUCACAACGGACAUGAGUUUUCAGUUGACUUGAGAGAGUUUUCUAGUCUUGGGAGAAUUUUCAUGCUCUGUGACCUAUGCAGAGGUCAUUGUGCAGGGAAUGGGCGCAUACAAGCUACGAUCAUUACCUAUUGUGAAUGGCAGAUCAUGUGCUCUGUAUACAGAGGUGUUAUCUGCCAUUGUAAUCCUGUCUGUGAUAAUAAUGAGGUGACUGUUGAAAAGUGAUCUAUACAAAUCAGGAAUUGUUAGGGUAUUACUUGGCUUACUUAACAUUGUGGACAUUUUUUCACUAUUUUUUAAUUAGAGAUAGUGAAAUGAGAAAUUAAAAAUAAUAGCACCAAAAAUUCUUAAAAUAUGUUUAACAGGUCAUUUUUAUGAUGAAAUAUUCCCUUUAAUCUGCAUUUCCUCAACUAUGAAGAAUUUAGCCUAAGUUUUGUUUCUUUGCUGGUCUGCACAAUGAGUAUCUGAUCGGCACAUUGUAAAAAGAAGACACUUAAAAGUGACAUAGAUUAAAUGAACUGCAGUAAAUAUUUGUGUAGCAAAGUAUCCCAAAUGCAUUUAGACAGAACAAAAUUCUGUCAGUUAUCAACAUACUGCAUGUGUUAAUCUUUCAAACGAAAGCAUUAUUUCUUUAUUAUAUACUAUAUACAGUGUAUACGUAGAUUUUCUAAAACCAUUCUAUAGUGAAUUUACAAUAUAUACCACAGAUAUCAAUACUAUGUAAUUGAUAUCACUGAUACAUAGAAACGGGGUUGCAUUUAUGUAAAUACCUGAUCCAUGAAAUAUAUUGUUUUCUAUUGCAUUGUGUCAAUGUUAUGCUCACAUACCUCCAACAUUCCUAGUUGGAAUAGUAUAACAAAUGAGACUAGGAUACCUUUGCUGUGAUCAGUAUACAUGACGUUUAACCCCUUUUCUGACAGGCCACAGCUCUUACACAUAAAAAAUUGGGACUGCUAAGAUGUAUAUGUGCAAGCCUUACAUUGUAUGUUAUGAAAAUAUUCUUGUACGCUAAUUGUCUCUGUUGUGUAGCAUCACAAAUAUAAUAUGGACAUAUUUCUGCACACAUAAUAGGGUUGAAAAUCCCACCCCAACUGCAGGUCAGAUCACUUAAACUAACAUCAUGAUUA